UACGAAGGGGGCUAGCGUUGCUCGGAAUCACUGGGCGUAAAGGGUGCGUAGGCGGGUCUUUAAGUCAGGGGUGAAAUCCUGGAGCUCAACUCCAGAACUGCCUUUGAUACUGAGGAUCUUGAGUCCGGGAGAGGUGAGUGGAACUGCGAGUGUAGAGGUGAAAUUCGUAGAUAUUCGCAAGAACACCAGUGGCGAAGGCGGCUCACUGGCCCGGUACUGACGCUGAGGCACGAAAGCGUGGGAAGCAAACAGG
rnacentral:rRNA from 1 species